UCUUUUAAUUAAAGGCUUGUAUGAAUGGUCGGACAAAAAGUAAGCUGUCUCCGGUUAUAAAAAUUGAAUUUGACUUUUAAGUGAAAAGGCUUAAAUAAAACAAAAUGACGAUAAGACCCUAUAAAGCUUUAAAGUGUAAUUUUUUAUUAAAAAUUAUGAAAUUGUAUAACUUAAUUUAAAUUAAAACUUUUUCGUUGGGGCGACGAAAAUAUAACAGCAUAACUGUUUUUACAUUAAUAAGACAGAUAUAUCUGGUUAUAAAUGAUCCUUUAUUAAAGAUUAAAAGUUUAAGUUACUUUAGGGAUAACAGCGUAAUCUUCUUUGAGAGUUCAUAUCGACAAGAAGGGUUGCGACCUCGAUGUUGAAUUAAGGUUCCUUUAUGGUGUAGCAGUUAUAACUGGAGGUCUGUUCGACCUUUAAACCCUUACAUGAUUU
rnacentral:rRNA from 1 species